GCCCCCGUAGCUCAGCGGAUCAGAGCAGAGGUUUCCUAAACCUCGUGCGCAGGUUCGACUCCUGCCGGGGGCA
rnacentral:tRNA from 1 species